CCUGGCUGUCAGGGACAUAGAAAAACAAGCCAUCCAUCUCUGGCCUAGACUCAUACCAAGAACCCAAAACUCUGAACACCUCCAGGGACUCUAUGUAACCACCUCCUGGUGGCCUGUUCCCCUACCCACUGCUACCUUCCCGCUCACUUUACCUUCUGAUACCAGCAGAUCUGCCCCCGCCGGGUGAGGGAUGAAUCCAUGAUGUCAUCUGACACCAGAAAGAAGGCUUGGAGCUAGGAGGAGAAGAAGAGUAGAACAAGGGCCCCAGGGCUCCUUAUUACUGUUCCUUCUACCAGUGACAGAGCUGCUGCUUUUGCAAAUCACUGAGCUGGGAAGGAAAUAAGAGACCACAACAGAUCUGACAUCUCCAGACAAGCAGCCUGAGAAGAUCCCUGAUAUCAGGGCGAUGAUGAAACAUCUUCAUACACUGCACUCUUCUUUUGCCAGGAACUUCAUUGAAGACUUUAAGAUUUCUUCAUGCAAUCGGACUUUAUAUGACUUCUGGAAAAAAAAAGGCUGUUCCCUUGUCAUCCCCAGGCACUCCACUUACACAGUCCAGUGACCAGAGUAUGUAAAAAACCCCACCUCUGGGAGCUCAUUCAGGAGUGCAGGUCUAAUAGGAUAGAACUGAAGUCUGACUCCCAGUAACUUUCACCCAUGGGUCUUAAACAUCAUCAGAGGGCAUACUCUUCUGAGUGCCAGCCUACAUGAAGAUACCAGAACGUGCUGGUUUUCCCACUGCACUGUGAACUCCUUGGAGGCAGGGAUGAUGUGUUUGCCCUCUUGGCAUUCCCAGAGCCCAAUACAGCGCUGGUCCCAGAGUGGGUGUGUCAUAAACUUUUGUCUAAGAAAUAAAAGAGAACAAAGCACU